GUCUUGGGUGAGGGAGAGCACAGUGAUUGCAGGAUUUUGCAUUUCCAGCUGUGGUGGCUAUGGGGAGAGAACCAUCUGCUUGAGGAAAGGAGUGGGAAGAGUAAAGGGGACUUUGGCAACUUAGGUAUCAGCUCAGCCUCAGGGGAGCAGAGCACCAAACAGGCUUUUAGAGUCCCUGAUUCUACCCCUCCCCCAGUUCCAAGCAGCUUAGCACAGAGAGAAAGAGACUCUGAAAGAAAGUAAAGGGGCUGGGCACAGUGGCUCACGCCUGUGAUCCCAGCACUUUGGGAGUCUAAAUAACACCCCUUAAGUGUGUGGUAAUGUGUUGGCACAGCAAAAGGAAAUGAAUACAAGAUUGUGAAUUAGGAAAAAGUAAGAUUCUUUAUAAUUAUGUUACCUCCCAUGUUUAUUUUAAAAAAUAUUUUAUUGUCACUUUAAGUAGUCAGGAAUUGUUUCACAGUAGCUCAUGAUCCUACCUUAAUGAGGUGUUCAAGUCUCCUGAUAACUUAAUAUUUUGCCUUCCCUAAAUUAAUCCUAAAUAAUAUCUUCUGCACCCAAAACUAUCUUUGACAAGACAUUGACAGCUUUAAGAAACUCAAAAACUGGUGCUGGAAGAUUUUCUUCUGCUAACCUCUUGGAAUUCACUGAACCAGCUAAUUCUCAGAUUCAACUACUGGCUUUUACUUUAAUGUAACUUUUAUAUUAUUAUUUCGUUAUUUUAGACAUCCCUCUUUAUAUAUAUAUAUUUUUACUUUUUAUUAUUUUUUUUCGAGAUGGAGUCUUGCUCUGUCGCCCAGGCUGGAGUGCAGUGGUGUGAUCUCGGCCCACUGUAGCCUCUGCCUCCUGGGUUCAAACAAUUCUCCUGCCUCAGCCUCCUGAGUAGCUGGGACUACAGUCGCCCUCCACCAUACCCGGCUAAUUUUUGUAUUUUUCGUAGAGACAGGAUUUCACCAUGCUUAGACAUCCCUCUUUUAAGAUGCCUGAGGGGUAGAGGGCUGGGGGAGGGAUAGCAUUAGGAGAAAUACCUAAUGUAAUUAGGGUUGAUGGGUGCAGCAAACCAACAUGGACCGUGUAUACUUGUGUAACAAACCUGCACGUUGUGCACAUAUACCCUAGAACUUAAAGUAUAAUAAUGAAAAAAAAAAAACAGAUGCCUGUUCUCCUGGACCCUAAAACAACUCACCUCUUAACAGAUGGUUGAACUGGUUUCACGGGAACAGCACCAACAAGAAUGUAAGAGAGUCUGUUCA
rnacentral:lncRNA from 1 species